CCCCCUUCUUCUCUGGGCUUUGCUGCCAUGGGGGCUGCAGGGGAAGGAGAUGCUCUGCUUGGGGGGACAGCCAGGGUGCCAGGCAGGGAGGAGCUGACAGGCCACUUGGAUGGUAGGGGGUGGGGGGGGGUGUCCAGCACUUACAGAAAAACCACUAUUUCAAUUCUUCUAUUUUGGCACUGGAGUUGGGUUCACUUCUAGGUAGAGGGUAGGGAGAGAGGAGAGAGAGAGAGAGAGAGAUAAGAAGACACCAGAAACAGAGAAUGGGAAAGACAGAGACAAAAGAAAUCAUGCAAAAGCCAAGACAGGGAAAAAAAAUGAAGAAGCAUGCACCGUUUUCCAGACAAAUCAUUUCAUCUCAUCUUUACAAUCCUGGGAGGUGAGUUCUGUUUACUCCCAUUUUACAGAUGAAGAAACUAAGGGCAAAUACAGUGCUUUUCCAAGUAUAGUCCAAGAGCCAGCCUAUCUCAUCUGGAAGGUGACGGGAGAGGGUGCUGGUUAAAAUGCAGGUUCCUUGCCCUACCCUGAACCUAUGGAAUCAGAAUCUCUGGCAUGGGACCAGGAAUCUGCAUUUAGUGAGUUCCCAGGGGAAUUUUCUAGAGAGUAAAGUUUGAGGUGUCCCCUGUCAGAUGGCUGCUCUGCCCUCUGCUUAAGUUUAUGCGGCACGUAAUGCAGAGCCAGGAUUUAGGACCCAGAAGGGAGUGAGAAAGCGAGGAAAGUGACAAAGAGAAGCUCUUCAAAGCCAGACAGAUAUGCCUCGGAAGAGAAGGCAGAGAGCAGGAGCACAGUAAGGCAGGAAGAGACACGUGGGGAGGAGUCCGCAGACCAGAAGGGGCCAUCUGGUCGGAGGGCGAGCACUAUUGACCAUGGACCUCUGUCCCUCUAGACAUGGCCUUCGCUUGACCAUCACAACAGCCCCGUGGGAUAGGUCCCAUCCCUCCCAUUCUGGACGAGGAAACUGAGGCUUGGAGAAUAAAGGGCAGAGCCAGGCUUCGAGCCCAGGUGUCUGGCUUUGGAAGAGGUCAUGGCUCUAACCACCAGCCUAGGCUGCUCUGGAGCAGAAAGCUUCUGUGGGGCGAGGAGAAACCAGGUGGAGAGUGAGGCUUUAGCUCAUCCCACCUCCAGGCCACUCUGGCUCGGGGAGCUGCUGGCUGGUGGCCCCAGCGGGCAGACAGAGCAGGGGCUCCAGUGCUUACUACCUGUGGGACCCUGGCAAGCUCCUUAGCUUUUUUGCUCCUCAGUUUCCUCACCUGCAAACUGGAGACACUAGGAAGACCUAUUUCAAAGGGCUAUUGACAAGCCGCCUCUGAGAUGGAACGGGAAAAGUUCACAGAGCAGCACCUAGAGCUAGUAAGUGCCCGCUCACUCUUGCUUGCUGUCAGGAAGUAUCUAGAUGCCCAGGGGUCAUUCAUGCAGGAGGUCCCAGGGAGACCUGCUCUUCUCUGAGCCCAGGGAAAGCCUACCAAACACAGAAGCAUUGAUGGAGCAGAAACAAUGAGUCUCUUACGCCCCCACCUGUUGCUAUAGGGCCCCAGCCCCCGCGAGCCUCACUGGGUCUUGCUGGGAGCCCAGCCUGUGCCUCCCAAGAGCUUUCUCUGCCCGGAUGCUGCCAGGCUCUAAUGAACCACCGUGUCCACUGGACUCAGAGAAGUAGAGUGACUCACCCCCGGCCAAAUAGCUGGGAAACGGGUACAGCUAAGACACACACACACACACCUCUAGCUGUGCUCUGGUUGCCUCCAAUGAACAUUUAUUGAGCCCUUGCUGUAUAUCAAGCAUUGGUGACACUUGUGGUCAUUUCCUGCAUCUCUCUCACAGGCUGGGGGCGCGCCAAGGAGGAAGGGAGUCCUUACCACGUGGUAGGAUGGGUGCCGAGACAGCAACUGACAUUCACCUAACACGCCAGGCAUACCCGGACGAUGUUGCAUGCGUGGGCUCGUUCCCCCUCUCCGCAGGUGACCAGCUAAAGCUCUGAUGUUCAUGGACUCUGUGAUUGCACUGCGCUGCAUUUUGCACGGUUGGACCUUGGGGAUUCCGCUAACAUGGGGUGUCUGGCAGCCCUUGUGGUCACGUCAGCUGCAUCAGGACUGGGGUCGUGCCUGCUUUGUUCACUGCUGUAUCCCCCGGAGACUAGAACAGUGCCUGGCACCUAACGGGUUCUCAAAAAGAGCAAUUGUUGAAUAAAUACAAACAGCAGCAAUGGUCUCAUUUUAUCCUCAUCAUCCCUCUGCAAGACGUUUUCUCUAUUUUCUGAUAAGGAGACUGAGGCUCAGAGAUGGCAAAGGGCUUACCCAAGGUCACACAGCAAGCAAGGGGAUGUAGUGGGAGCUCAGCUCCUCCACAGGAGGGAAGAAUUUACUGCCUACCUGCUGAAAUGUACUAAGUAGAAUCCUAAAGAUCCAGUCAUAUACAUACAGCAUAGGGCAAUCGCAGAGUUAAUGAAAGCAGAACUUUUAAAUGGUUUGUACUCUCACAAGAGUAAAGACAUGAAAUUCGCAUCACCCACCACCGG